rnacentral:tRNA from 1 species
CCCCUGUAAUUUAUAAAAAAUAUUGGUUUUGUAAGUCAAUUAAAGAAUAGGUAUAUUCUCUUGGGCU